rnacentral:rRNA from 1 species
AUACGUAGGUGACAAGCGUUAUCCGGAUUUACUGGGCGUAAAGGGCGUGUAGGCGGUCUUGCAAGUCAGAAGUGAAAUUCCUGAGCUCAACUCGGGCGCUGCUUCUGAAACUGCAGGACUUGAGUGCUGGAGGGGAUAGCGGAAUUCCUAGUGGAGCGGUAAAAUGCGCAGAUAUUAGGAAGAACACCGGUGGCGAAGGCGGCUACCUGGACAGUAACUGACGCUGAGGCGCGAAAGCGUGGGGAGCAAACAGGAUUAUAUACCCGGGUGGUCCACGCUGUAAACGAUGAAUACUAGGUGUAGGGGGUAUCGACUCCCUCUGUGCCGCAGUUAACACAAUAAGUAUUCCGCCUGGGGAGUACGGCCGCAAGGUUGAAACUCAAAGGAAUUGGCGGGG